ensembl:piRNA 21ur-1209 ncRNA
UAAUAUAUCCUAUCAACUGAA